rnacentral:rRNA from 1 species
GACGAAAGUCUGACGGAGCAACGCCGCGUGAGUGAUGACGGCCUUCGGGUUGUAAAGCUCUGUUAAUCGGGACGAAAGGCCUUCUUGCGAAUAGUUAGAAGGAUUGACGGUACCGGAAUAGAAAGCCACGGCUAACUACGUGCCAGCAGCCGCGGUAAUACGUAGGUGGCAAGCGUUGUCCGGAAUUAUUGGGCGUAAAGCGCGCGCAGGCGGAUAGGUCAGUCUGUCUUAAAAGUUCGGGGCUUAACCCCGUGAUGGGAUGGAAACUGCCAAUCUAGAGUAUCGGAGAGGAAAGUGGAAUUCCUAGUGUAGCGGUGAAAUGCGUAGAUAUUAGGAAGAACACCAGUGGCGAAGGCGACUUUCUGGACGAAAACUGACGCUGAGGCGCGAAAGCCAGGGGAGCGAACGGGAUUAGAUACCCCGGUAGUCCUGGCCGUAAACGAUGGGUACUAGGUGUAGGAGGUAUCGACCCCUUCUGUGCCGGAGUUAACGCAAUAAGUACCCCGCCUGGGGAGUACGACCGCAAGGUUGAAACUCAAAGGAAUUGACGGGGGCCCGCACAAGCGGUGGAGUAUGUGGUUUAAUUCGACGCAACGCGAAGAACCU